UACGUAGGUGGCAAGCGUUGUCCGGAUUUACUGGGCGUAAAGAGCGCGCAGGCGGUCGUUCAAGUCGAGUGUGAAAGCCCCCCGGCUCAACUGGGGAGGGUCACUCGAUACUGAUCGACUUGAAGGCAGGAGAGGGAAGCGGAAUUCCCGGUGUAGUGGUGAAAUGCGUAGAUAUCGGGAGGAACACCAGUGGCGAAGGCGGCUUCCUGGCCUGUUCUUGACGCUGAGGCGCGAAAGCUAGGGGAGCAAACGGG
rnacentral:rRNA from 1 species